GACGAACGCUGGCGGCGUGCUUAACACAUGCAAGUCGAACGGAAAGGCCCUGCUCUUGUGGGGUUCUCGUGUGGCGAACGGGGGAGUAACACGUGAGUAACCUGCCCUUGACUUUGGGAUAAUUUCAGGAAAAUGGGGCUAAUACCGGAUAGGAGCUCCUGCUGCAUGGUGGGGGUUGGAAAGUUUCGGCGGUUGGGGAUGGACUCGCGGCUUAUCAGCUUGUUGGUGGGGUAGUGGCUUACCAAGUCUUUGACGGGUAGCCGGCCUGAGAGGUUGACCGGCCUCAUUGGGACUGAGGUACGGCCCAGACUCCUACGGGAGGCAGCAGUGGGGAAUAUUGCGCAGUGGGCGGAAGCCUGAUGCAGCAACGCCGCGUGCGUGAUGACGGCUUUCGGGUUGUAAACCGCUUUCGCCUGUGACGAAGCGUGAGUGACGGUAAUGGGUAAAGAAGCACCGGCUAACUACGUG
rnacentral:rRNA from 1 species